AUAGCGUAUAUUAAAGUUGUUGCAGUUAAAAAGCUCGUAGUUGAAUUUCAGGCCUGGCCGGGCGGUCAGCUUAACGGCGUGCCCUGUCUGGCUGGGCCUUACCUCUUGGGGAGCUGGCGUGUCCUUUAUUGGAUGCGUUGGGGAACCAGGACUUUUACCUUGAGAAAAUUAGAGUGUUCAAAGCAGGCCUAUGCCUGAAUACAUUAGCAUGGAAUAAUAAAAUAGGACGUGCGGUUCUAUUUUGUUGGUUUCUAGAGUCGCCGUAAUGAUUAAUAGGGAUAGUUGGGGGCAUUGGUAUUGAGUCGCUAGAGGUGAAAUUCUUGGAUUGACUCAAGACCAACUAUUG
rnacentral:rRNA from 1 species